rnacentral:rRNA from 1 species
GAUGAACGCUGGCGGCGUGCCUAAUACAUGCAAGUCGAGCGAAUGGAUUAAGAGCUUGCUCUUAUGAAGUUAGCGGCGGACGGGUGAGUAACACGUGGGUAACCUGCCCAUAAGGCUGGGAUAACUCCGGGAAACCGGGGCUAAUACCGGAUAACAUUUUGAACCGCAUGGUUCGAAAUUGAAAGGCGGCUUCGGCUGUCACUUAUGGAUGGACCCGCGUCGGAUUAGCUAGUUGGUGAGGUAACGGCUCACCAAGGCAACGAUGCGUAGCCGACCUGAGAUGGUGAUCGGCCACACUGGGACUGAGACACGGCCCAGACUCCUACGGGAGGCAGCAGUAGGGAAUCUUCCGCAAUGGACGAAAGUCUGACGGAGCAACGCCGCGUGAGUGAUGAAGGCUUUCGGGUCGUAAAACUCUGUUGUUAGGGAAGAACAAGUGCUAGUUGAAUAAGCUGGCACCUUGACGGUACCUAACCAGAAAGCCACGGCUAACUACGUGCCAGCCGCCGCAGUAA